UCAGAAUUUCAGGUUUUGACCAGUUAUGUCAGGAAGCUGCAAAUAUUACAAAGGAGCUUGAACUCAAAGCUGCCAGUGCUGCACUUGAAGCAGCUACCAGGGAGGCUGAACAAAUUCUGCAAACGUUUAAUCUUCCACCACUAAAUAAAAGGAAGACCAAACGUGCCUGCAGCAGCCUCCUCAAACCAGUCUCUUUUGUGGAGAGGGAUGAGUUUGGGCAUCUUGUGCCUAAACGGAGAAGGCCAAAAUGUACAAAGGCAAACAUUUCUGAUGGUACAGUGGUCAACAAUCCAGCAGCUACAUCGUCAUUAUCUUUGGAGUCUAGGCAAGGAGACAUUGAUCAU